CUUGGUCAUUUAGAGGAAGUAAAAGUCGUAACAAGGUUUCCGUAGGUGAACCUGCGGAAGGAUCAUUCAUAAUAAGUGUUUUAUGGCACUUUUUAAAUCCAUAUCCACCUUGUGUGCAAUGUCAGUCGAUCUUCUUCAUGGAGAUCGGCCAAACAUCAACCUUAUUUUUUAACUCUUUGUCUGAAAAAUAUUAUGAAUAAACAAUUCAAAAUACAACUUUCAACAACGGAUCUCUUGGCUCUCGCAUCGAUGAAGAACGCAGCGAAAUGCGAUACGUAAUGUGAAUUGCAGAAUUCAGUGAAUCAUCGAAUCUUUGAACGCAUAUUGCGCUCUUUGGUAUUCCGAAGAGCAUGCUUGUUUGAGUAUCAGUAAACACCUCAAAGCUUUUGGAUUUUUUUUUGAAAGCUUUGGACUUGAGCAAUCCCAACGCCAAUCUUUUUCAGAUCGGCGGCGGGUUGCUUGAAAUGCAGGUGCAGCUGGACUUUCUCCUGAGCUAAAAGCAUAUUCAUUUAGUCCCGUCAAACGGAUUAUUACUUUUGCUGCAGCUAACAUAAAGGGAGUUUGACCGUAUUGGCUGACUGAUGCAGGAUUUUACAAGGGUCGGCAACGAUUCUUGUUAAACUCGAUCUCAAAUCAAGUAUGACUACCCGCUGAACUUAAGCAUAUCAAUAAGCGGAGGA
rnacentral:rRNA from 1 species